AUACGUAGGGGGCGAGCGUUGUCCGGAUUUACUGGGCGUAAAGGGUGAGUAGGCGGUUAUAUAAGUCAGAUGUAAAAGGCACAGGCUUAACUUGUGUAAGCAUUUGAAACUGUAUAACUUGAGUGCAGGAGAGGUAAGUGGAAUUCCUAGUGUAGCGGUGAAAUGCGUAGAUAUUAGGAGGAACACCAGUGGCGAAGGCGACUUACUGGACUGUAACUGACGCUGAGUCACGAAAGCGUGGGUAGCAAACAGGAUUAGAUACCCUGGUAGUCCACGCUGUAAACGAUGAGUGCUAGGUGUUGGGUAGCGAUACUCAGUGCCGAAGUAAACACAAUAAGCACUCCGCCUGGGGAGUACGGUCGCAAGACUGAAACUCAAAGGAAUUGACGGGG
rnacentral:rRNA from 1 species